UACGAAGGGGGCUAGCGUUGCUCGGAAUCACUGGGCGUAAAGCGCACGUAGGCGGAUUGUUAAGUCAGGGGUGAAAUCCUGGAGCUCAACUCCAGAACUGCCUUUGAUACUGGCGAUCUUGAGUCCGGGAGAGGUGAGUGGAACUGCGAGUGUAGAGGUGAAAUUCGUAGAUAUCGUAAGGAAGACCAGUGGCGAAGGCGGGUCUCUGGACAGUUCCUGACGCUGAGGCACGAAGGCCAGGGGAGCAAACGGG
rnacentral:rRNA from 1 species